rnacentral:rRNA from 1 species
AUUGAACGCUGGCGGCAGGCCUAACACAUGCAAGUCGAGCGGAUGAAGGGAGCUUGCUCCUGGAUUCAGCGGCGGCCGGGUGGGUAAUGCCUAGGAAUCUGCCUGGUAGUGGGGGAUAACGUCCGGAAACGGGCGCUAAUACCGCAUACGUCCUGAGGGAGAAAGUGGGGGAUCUUCGGAUCUCACGCUAUCAGAUGAGCCUAGGUCGGAUGAGCUAGUUGGUGGGGUAAAGGCCUACCAAGGCGACGAUCCGUAACUGGUCUGAGAGGAUGACCAGUCACCUUGGAACUGAGGCACGGUCCAGACUCCUACGGGAGGCAGCAGUGGGGAAUAUUGGACAAUGGGCGAAAGCCUGAUCCAGGCAUGCCGCGUGUGUGAAGAAGGUCUUCGGAUUGUAGAGCACUUUAAGUUGGGAGGAAGGACAGUAAGUUAAUACCUUACUGUAUUGACGGUACCAACAGAAUAAGCACCGGCUAACUUCGUG